CAAUCGGCCCUUUUCAGGGCCAACAUAAUUUUCAAACGUUGAACA
rfam:Nasonia vitripennis chromosome 1, whole genome shotgun sequence.